rnacentral:rRNA from 1 species
GCCAGACUCCUACGGGAGGCAGCAGUGGGGAAUAUUGGGCAAUGGGCGCAAGCCUGACCCAGCAACGCCGCGUGAAGGAAGAAGGCUUUCGGGUUGUAAACUUCUUUUCUCAGGGACGAAGAAAGUGACGGUACCUGAGGAAUAAGCCACGGCUAACUACGUGCCAGCAGCCGCGGUAAUACGUAGGUGGCAAGCGUUAUCCGGAUUUACUGGGUGUAAAGGGCGUGUAGGCGGGGAAGCAAGUCAGAUGUGGAAACCACGGGCUCAACCUGUGGCCUGCAUUUGAAACUGUUUUUCUUGAGUACUGGAGAGGCAGACGGAAUUCCUAGUGUAGCGGUGAAAUGCGUAGAUAUUAGGAGGAACACCAGUGGCGAAGGCGGCCUGCUGGGCUUUUACUGACGCUGAGGCUCGAAAGUGUGGGGAGCAAACAGGAUUAGAUACCCCGGUAC